ensembl:lncRNA
AUGAAGGAGAAAAGGAGUGAGAAGGAGGCAAAAAAGAGCGGGUCAGCGGCAGGUACAUCAAAGAAGUGGAAGUUCUUUGUGGUCCUGUCCUUCCUCGACCCAUUCGUCACCCCGAGGGAGACCACUAGCAACCUUCCUCGGGUGGCAGAGGAUGAGAUCGAGGAUGACGGGGCUGCAGAGACUUCGCUGUCUGGGGCAGGAGAGGCAUAUGAGGAGUGCGAUGAGGCAGCAGGGCUAUCGCACAAUGCAGAUCAGCCGUCAGUGAGUGACUCUGACACUGACGAUGCCUCUGCUGCCCCUGUCCCUGCCGCUGACCCUGCCGCUGACCCAAGACCACCGGGCGGGACGAAGAGGAAGAAUGCCAGGAGGGUACCGUGCGGGAGCACCCCAAUACAAGAGGCCAUCCUCCAGGCCCUGCAUAUGGAGGCUGCCCAGACCCCCCCACCACCCCCCCCACCCCAGCUCUCGGAGGACGCAUUCUUCCUCCAGAGCAUACUUCCUUCCCUGGAGAGAUUGCCACGCCAAGCUUGUGCUGAGUUGAAAUUUGAAAUUCACAAGCUCGUAGUUGAAGCCACAAGACGCACUAAUUUGGAACCCAUAUAAUUAUUAAAUAUGCUCAUGCUUAUUUGCAACAGUGGUGGUGACAAUCUCUCCAGGGAACGAACUGGGCUGCUGUGACUAAAAAAUAAGCUGUUUGUGAGAAAGGUAGUUAGUGAGGUAAAUCCUUUCUCACAAACAGCUUAUUUUUUAGGAAGAUGUUAAUGUUCUUGUUCUUGUGUUCUGUUUUAAAUUUAUAAUAUAUUGUUCUAUGUUGUUUUGUUAGUCGUUUUGUACAUAAAAUAUUUUUAAUAACUCU